AGAGAGAGAGAGAGAGAGAGAGAGAGAGAGGAACGAGGGCUCCUGCGACUCAGACCCCCUGUUUGAUGUUUGAAGUUGCUGUCACAUUCCACUUCCUGACCUCUGAACCAUGACUCACCGGUCGUCCUCCUCCAGAGCCCGACCAUCACGGACGCCAUGCCUCAGAGAAGACGUCUGACAAAGCAUCAUCCAAAGAGGAGAGGAUAUGGGCUGAUCUGCAUGACACAGCCUCAAAGGGCAAUGGGCUUGAAUUCAGUCUGUAACAAUGGCUGAAAUGGUAAAUGUGUAGUUUUUAGGGUAG